rnacentral:rRNA from 1 species
ACGGAAGGCAGCAGUGGGGAAUAUUGGACAAUGGGGGAAACCCUGAUGCAGCGACGCCGCGUGAGUGAAGAAGUAUUUCGGUAUGUAAAGCUCUUUAAGCAGGAAAGAUAGUGACGGUACCUGCAGAAUAAGCCCCGGCUAACUACGUGCCAGCAGCCGCGGUAAUACGUAGGGGGCAAGCGUUAUCCGGAUUUACUGGGUGUAAAGGGAGCGUAGACGGCAAUGCAAGUCUGAAGUGAAAUCCCGUGGCUUAACUGCGGAAUUGCUUUGGAAACUGUAUAGCUAGAGUGUCGGAGAGGUGAGUGGAAUUCCCAGUGUAGCGGUGAAAUGCGUAGAUAUUGGGAGGAACACCGGCGGCGAAGGCGGCUCACUGGACGAUAACUGACGUUGAUGCUCGAAAGCGUGGGGAGCAAACAGGAUUAGAUACCCUGGUA